AGUGAACGCUGGCGGUAGGCCUAACACAUGCCAGUCGAACGGCAGCACAGUAAGAGCUUGCUCUUACGGGUGGCGAGUGGCGGACGGGUGAGGAAUACAUCGGAAUCUACUUUUUCGUGGGGGAUAACGUAGGGAAACUUACGCUAAUACCGCAUACGACCUACGGGUGAAAGCAGGGGAUCUUCGGACCUUGCGCGAUUGAAUGAGCCGAUGUCGGAUUAGCUAGUUGGCGGGGUAAAGGCCCACCAAGGCGACGAUCCGUAGCUGGUCUGAGAGGAUGAUCAGCCACACUGGAACUGAGACACGGUCCAGACUCCUAUGGGAGGCAGCAGUGGGGAAUAUUGGACAAUGGGCGCAAGCCUGAUCCAGCCAUACCGCGUGGGUGAAGAAGGCCUUCGGGUUGUAAAGCCCUUUUGUUGGGAAAGAAAAGCAGCAGGUUAAUACCCCGCUGUUCUGACGGUACCCAAAGAAUAAGCACCGGCUAACUUCGUG
rnacentral:rRNA from 1 species